rnacentral:rRNA from 1 species
UACGAAGGGGGCGAGCGUUGUUCGGAUUUACUGGGCGUAAAGGGCGCGCAGGCGGCUCAUUUUGUCAGGCGUGAAAGCCCCGGGCUUAGCCUGGGAGGUGCGUUUGAUACGGAUGGGCUAGAGUUCGGGAGAGGAGAGUGGAAUUCCCAGUGUAGAGGUGAAAUUCGUAGAUAUUGGGAAGAACACCGGUGGCGAAGGCGGCUCUCUGGACCGAGACUGACGCUGAGGCGCGAAAGCGUGGGGAGCAAACAGGG